rnacentral:snRNA from 1 species
UCUGGUGGAAGCCCGCAGCG